CGUGAAAAAAUUAGAGUGUUCAAAGCAGGCAGAUCCAAUUCUCUGCCACCGAAUACAUUAGCAUGGGAUAAUGGAAUAGGACCCUGUCCUCCUAUUUUCAGUUGGUUUUGGCAGCGCGAGGACUAGGGUAAUGAUUAAUAGGGAUAGUUGGGGGCAUUAAUAUUUAAUUGUCAGAGGUGAAAUUCUUGGAUUUAUGAAAGAUUAACUUCUGCGAAAGCAUCUGCCAAGGAUGUUUUCAUUAAUCAAGAACGAAAGUUAGGGGAUCGAAGACGAUCAGAUACCGUCGUAGUCUUAACCAUAAACGAUGCCGACCAGCGAUUAGGAGACGUUGAAUACAAAACACCACCAUCGGCGCGGUCGCCCUUGGCGGGCUCGGCCUCACGGCCGGGUCC
rnacentral:rRNA from 1 species